GACGGUCUUGCUGUCACUUAUAGAUGGAUCCGCGCUGCAUUAGCUAGUUGGUAAGGUAACGGCUUACCAAGGCAACGAUGCAUAGCCGACCUGAGAGGGUGAUCGGCCACACUGGAACUGAGACACGGUCCAGACUCCUACGGGAGGCAGCAGUAGGGAAUCUUCCGCAAUGGGCGAAAGCCUGACGGAGCAACGCCGCGUGAGUGAUGAAGGUCUUCGGAUCGUAAAACUCUGUUAUUAGGGAAGAACAUAUGUGUAAGUAACUGUGCACAUCUUGACGGUACCUAAUCAGAAAGCCACGGCUAACUACGUGCCAGCAGCCGCGGUAAUACGUAGGUGGCAAGCGUUAUCCGGAAUUAUUGGGCGUAAAGCGCGCGUAGGCGGUUUUUUAAGUCUGAUGUGAAAGCCCACGGCUCAACCGUGGAGGGUCAUUGGAAACUGGAAAACUUGAGUGCAGAAGAGGAAAGUGGAAUUCCAUGUGUAGCGGUGAAAUGCGCAGAGAUAUGGAGGAACACCAGUGGCGAAGGCGACUUUCUGGUCUGUAACUGACGCUGAUGUGCGAAAGCGUGGGGAUCAAACAGGAUUAGAUACCCUGGUAGUCCACGCCGUAAACGAUGAGUGCUAAGUGUUAGGGGGUUUCCGCCCCUUAGUGCUGCAGCUAACGCAUUAAGCACUCCGCCUGGGGAG
rnacentral:rRNA from 1 species